AGCAGCCGCCACGGGAAUACGUAGGGGGCAAGCGUUGUCCGGAAUCAUUGGGCGUAAAGCGCGUGUAGGCGGCUCGAUAAGUCUGCUGUGAAAGUCCAGGGCUCAACCCUGGAAUGCCGGUGGAAACUGUCGAGCUCGAGUCCGGAAGAGGCAAGUGGAAUUCCUGGUGUAGCGGUGAAAUGCGCAGAUAUCAGGAGGAACACCAAUGGAGAAGGCAGCUUGCUGGGACGGUACUGACGCUGAGACGCGAAAGCGUGGGGAGCAAACAGGAUUAGAUACCCGCGUAGUCCCUGUCUCUUAUAU
rnacentral:rRNA from 1 species